rnacentral:rRNA from 1 species
UACGAAGGGGGCUAGCGUUGCUCGGAAUCACUGGGCGUAAAGCGCACGUAGGCGGCUUCUUAAGUCAGGGGUGAAAUCCUGGAGCUCAACUCCAGAACUGCCUUUGAUACUGAGGAGCUUGAGUCCGGGAGAGGUGAGUGGAACUGCGAGUGUAGAGGUGAAAUUCGUAGAUAUUCGCAAGAACACCAGUGGCGAAAGCGGCUCUCUGGAACGGUACUGACGCUGAGACGCGAAAGCGUGGGGAGCGAACAGG